rnacentral:rRNA from 1 species
GCGUGCCUAAUUCAUGCAAGUCGAGCGAACAGAUAAGGAGCUUGCUCCUUUGACGUUAGCGGCGGACGGGUGAGUAACACGUGGGUAACCUACCUAUAAGACUGGAAUAACUCCGGGAAACCGGGGCUAAUGCCGGAUAACAUUUAGAACCGCAUGGUUCUAAAGUGAAAGAUGGUUUUGCUAUCACUUAUAGAUGGACCCGCGCCGUAUUAGCUAGUUGGUAAGGUAAUGGCUUACCAAGGCAACGAUACGUAGCCGACCUGAGAGGGUGAUCGGCCACACUGGAACUGAGACACGGUCCAGACUCCUACGGGAGGCAGCAGUAGGGAAUCUUCCGCAAUGGGCGAAAGCCUGACGGAGCAACGCCGCGUGAGUGAUGAAGGGUUUCGGCUCGUAAAACUCUGUUAUUAGGGAAGAACAAACGUGUAAGUAACUGUGCACGUCUUGACGGUACCUAAUCAGAAAGCCACGGCUAACUACGUGCCAGCAGCCGCGGUAAUACGUAGGUGGCAAGCGUUAUCCGGAAUUAUUGGGCGUAAAGCGCGCGUAGGCGGUUUCUUAAGUCUGAUGUGAAAGCCCACGGCUCAACCGUGGAGGGUCAUUGGAAACUGGGAGACUUGAGUGCAGAAGAGGAAAGUGGAAUUCCAUGUGUAGCGGUGAAAUGCGCAGAGAUAUGGAGGAACACCAGUGGCGAAGGCGACUUUCUGGUCUGUAACUGACGCUGAUGUGCGAAAGCGUGGGGAUCAAACAGGAU